rnacentral:lncRNA from 1 species
CUGGGUGAGAGGGAGAUACAGUGCGUGUAUCAUUCAGAGCAUGCAGGCUGAUCAACUUGCGAUCGACAUUCGACAGUGCUGCGAGACUCCGUAAGCUUCUAAUUCCACCUCUUUUCUUCUCCGCGCCAAGCCGUGAAGUCAUCGAUCAAUUGAUCAGCUGGGGGUCUGGUCGAGGAGAAAGGAAGCUGAAUGAGAAGGGUACUGGGCUGCGCUUAUAUUAGUUAGCUAGGUAUAGUACGCCCUUGUUGUUUUGUAGCAGUAUGGCGUUCUUGAUGCUUCGAGUAAAAACAUUCAUGUAAUCAUUUGUUGUUGUUUUUGCCCUCCGGGUCUUCUCAUUUUUCUUCUUCUUCUUGACGAUGGAUCAAUAAAUACACAGCUGUUGCGAUAAGGUAAAGGAAGGUCAACGUCCGUAGUGACAAAUGCGCCUGCACCUGACAUUAGUUGGGGUUGAG